rnacentral:lncRNA from 1 species
UUUUGUUUUUUCCUCUUAUUCGUCUCUUCCUCUCCUAUUUUUCUUCUUCUUCUUCUUCUUCUUUCUUCUCCGUCCCUUCCUUUUCCUUCUUAUUCUUAUUUUUUUCUUCUCCUUUCUCCUUCUUGUGCUUCUUCUUUCUCCUUCUUCUUCUUCCCCUUCUUCUUUCUGCUCCUUCCCAUCCUUUUCCUUCUUCUUCUCCUUCCCUUCCUUUUCCUUCUUUUUCUUCUUCUUCUUUCUUCUCCUUCCCUUCCUUUUCCUUUUAACCCCCCUGUUCAUGCGCAACCACAACAUAAGCCCC